GAAAGGGGAUUAGGGUACCAAUUGAGACGAUUGGAAUCUGCACGAGUCUUCUUCUCAUCCGCGAACGGCGCCGGCGAAUUCACUCCUUCCGGCGGGAUCGCGGCGAGCACCACCGUGAAUCAAUGUUUUCCAUCUCACCUUGUUCACCCUCGCGCAUCAUCUCUCACCGAUUUCCUUCCAUCAUCGUUGUGAGUGAUCAAAACAACAUAACAUUACCGGUUGCGAACGACGAACGGGAAGCCCAGAGUUACUCGGCGAUCCUCGGUAAAAAUCCUUUCGUUUCUGAUUACGAUUUCAUCUCUCCCCUUCGCUUUUCCAUUUCUGACUCGUUGUUGUUGUUGUGCGUUGAGGAGAUGUUGUUGCGAAGAUCGUCGUGAAUAGGGAUUGCAAUGAUGACACGUUGAAGAUUGAUGAAGAUGAAGAGAGGAAUUCUGACUGGUCAAGGGAGGGAGAAGAAGAUUGAAGGUUAAAGAUUCUGUUAGAGGUUAUGAUGGUGAGAAGGUUGAAGAACGAUGAAGAGAGAUUCAGAGAUGGUCAGAGAGUGAUGUGAUUCAAGAUGAAGAUGGAAUAGGCUCAAGGUGAGAAAAAAUGGGAGGUUCUGAAUUGGUGAAAAGAGGAAGAUAAAGAUUGAAGAGAUGAAUGAUGGAGAGUGAGAUAUGAGGGUGGAGUGAUGAAGAAUGAAGGUUGGAAGUGGAUGAAGGAGGUGGUGUCUGAAUUCAGAGAGUGAAAUUGGAGGUGAUGAAUGAAUGAAUCGAGAAGAUUGAGUGAUCCUCAAUUCAGAGAGUGAGCUCUGCUAUAUAUGGAUUCAAAGAUUAGUUUCUUUCUUGAUUUUCAGUUAUCCGUUUUCUCUUACUCCUUCUCCUUCUUUUUCUGUUAUGGCCUUGAAACUGUUAAAAGGUAGUUACAUGUUAGUGUGAUUCUGUUAUGAUAGUUGGGUUAGUUACUAGGUGGUUAGGAUUCUGUUUAGUUAGUUAGGGAUUGAUUAGAAGCUGUUAGGGACAGUUAGGGAUUCGGUUAGGACUGUUAUAAGGUAGUUAGGGAAUCUGUUAGAGGUGGUUAUUGAUAGUUUUUCUGUUAUGGUUUGUUUGAAGGUUAGUUGGGACUGAAGUUGGGUUUGUUGGUUGGUUAGAGGGUAGUUACGAAGCUGCCACAAGUUUGUUAUAGAGGUUAGGGAGGUUAUGAGAAAAACUGUUAGUAGUGAGGAUUGGUUAAAGGAAUACUUGAGCUUGGUUUUUUUUUUGUUUCGAGGGCGAUUCUGUAUGCUGACUUUGUGGUUCAUGACUGUUUGUUAGUAGCAAUAGGUCGCCUCUUCUUCUUUUCUUUGACUUGCAAGCAUAGCUUGGAAUUCACUAUUCCUGAACUGAUUUUUCUUUAUGCCGAAUCUGAAUUGAGUUAAUGAAUGCAGGUCUGUGGUUUUGCGUGUGAUUGGCUUAUCGUUUUUCAUGUAUGCAGGCUGAUUUUCAUGUAUGCACAAAUAAGAAUUACAGCUCCAGGAGGAUCAUCUUUGGAAGCAAGAGAAACAUUAAGCAACAAGUCGCCAAUAAUCUUGCAACAGUUUAGGAUACAGACAAACUUGUCUCUGGGUGCCUUGUACCUGUUGAUCUUCUGCAAUUUUUCUGUGCAAGCAACCAUGAUGUUUCAUUCUGUAAUGCUGGCUUGAUGUCCAAAUUUUCUGGUCAAAUGAAUUGUUGAGCUCUAGGAUAUAAGUCUGUAGAGUUUGCAAAUAGUAUAGAGGGAAUGAAUUUUUUUUUGUAUUUUCUUUGUGAUAGAAUUGUAUUUUUGGUAAUGGAUUUGUAUGGAUGUGAUAUUUGAAACGAAUGGAGACUUUUGAAUUUGACUGA